AGAGUUUGAUCCUGGCUCAGGAUGAACGCUGGCGGUAUGCCUAACACAUGCAAGUCGUACGAGAGUUUUUAACUCUAGUGGCGGACGGGUGAGUAACACGUGAGAAUUUACCUUUAGGAGGGGGAUAACAAUUGGAAACGAAUGCUAAUACCCCAUAUGCUUUUGAGUGAAAUGGAUUUAUAAUUAUCUGCCUAAAGAAAAGCUCGCGGCUGAUUAGCUUGUUGGUAAGGUAAGAGCUUACCAAGGCGACGAUCAGUAUCUGGUUUGAGAGGACGAUCAGACACACUGGAACUGAGACACGGUCCAGACUCCUACGGGAGGCAGCAGUGGGGAAUUUUCCGCAAUGGGCGAAAGCCUGACGGAGCAAUACCGCGUGAGGGAAGACUGCCUAUGGGUUGUAAACCUCUUUUUUCAGGGAGGAAUAAAAUGACGUGUACCUGAAGAAUAAGCAUCGGCUAACUCCGUGCCAGCGGCCGCGGUAAG
rnacentral:rRNA from 1 species